rnacentral:rRNA from 1 species
UCAUGGCUCAGGAUGAACGCUGGCUGCGUGCUUAACACAUGCAAGUCGAACGAUGACGACCGGGCUUGCCUGGUCUGAUUAGUGGCGAACGGGUGAGUAACACGUGAGUAACCUGCCCCUCACUUCGGGAUAACCUCGGGAAAUCGUGGCUAAUACCGGAUAUGAACUUCUACCGCAUGGUGGUUGUUGGAAAGUUUUUCGGUGAGGGAUGGACUCGCGGCCUAUCAGUUUGUUGGUGAGGUAAUGGCUCACCAAGACGAUGACGGGUAGCCGGCCUGAGAGGGCGACCGGCCACACUGGGACUGAGACACGGCCCAGACUCCUACGGGAGGCAGCAGUGGGGAAUAUUGCACAAUGGGCGAAAGCCUGAUGCAGCGACGCAGCGUGAGGGAUGACUGCCUUCGGGUUGUAAACCUCUUUCAGUAGGGAAGAAGCGAAAGUGACGGUACCUGCAGAAGAAGCGCCGGCUAACUACGUGCCAGCAGCCGCGGUAAUACGUAGGGCGCAAGCGUUAUCCGGAAUUAUUGGGCGUAAAGAGCUUGUAGGUGGCUUGUCGCGUCUGCCGUGAAAACCCGAGGCUCAACCUCGGGCGUGCGGUGGGUACGGGCAGGCUAGAGUGUGGUAGGGGAGACUGGAACUCCUGGUGUAGCGGUGAAA